UACGGAGGGAACUAGCGUUGUUCGGAUUUACUGGGCGUAAAGGGCGCGUAGGCGGUCUGUUAAGUUAGAAGUGAAAGCCUGGGGCUUAACCCCAGAACUGCUUCUAAAACUGGCAAACUAGAGUGCGGGAGAGGAUAGUGGAAUUCCUAGUGUAGAGGUGAAAUUCUUAGAUAUUAGGAGGAACACCGGUGGCGAAAGCGACUAUCUGGAACGUUACUGACGCUGAGGCGCGAAAGCGUGGGGAGCAAACAGG
rnacentral:rRNA from 1 species